ensembl:snRNA U1 U1 spliceosomal RNA
AUAAUUACCAGGAAGGGGGGAUACCAUGAUUACGAAGGUGGUUUUCCCAGGGCACGGCUCAUUGUUGCACUCCAGAUGUGGUGACCCCUGCGAUUUCCCCAAAUGCGGGAAACUUGACUGCAUAAUUUGUGGUAAUAGGGGACUGCAUUCACACUAUCCCCUU